AAAUUAUUUAUUAAUAAUUUAGAUCUUAAUUUAUCCUUGCCCUUCCUCUACGAUAAAGAGGAAGGGAACAGGUAACCAAUUGAUUGUGUAAGCACUGUGUGCCUGGAAGUUUGUCUUUGCUAUGUUAUGUUCACAGAGGCCUACAAGUAGAUCUUGUUACAGAGGAGCCAAUCGAAGCUUAGAGAAGCUAACUAAUGUAAGGUCGCAGAAUUAGGUUGAUACAGACCCAGGAUUCAAAGUCAGUUCUUUUUGCUUUUCAGAAUGAUUUUCUCUGCCCAACAUCAUGCUGUUGUAGCCCUUGCAUCUCAGAGUCAUUAACCUCCAAUCUCUUUUUUUGUUGGUGCUCUUCAGAAUGAAUGUGUCCAGUAUACCAGGUACCUCGAAUAACGUGACUCUGCUUGGGCAUAGAAAACCAGCUGCUGGUGGGAUUGCUGGGUGAAUAUUGUGGAGCGGCUAGUGGGAGAGAGUUGGGGAAGAAGACCAGAAGGAGACAUGGCAUAGCCAGGAGAAGAGCAGAGGUGGCCUUGGCCAAUGGAUCCUAACCUUGGUGUAGCAUCCUUUGAGACUCUGAUGGAAGUUAUAGACCCUGUCCCUAGAAAAUUUGCUAAAAAUUUCAGGAAUUUGCAGACCUGCUGAAGUUGCUGAGACUGACGGAUUCUAUGCUGAGCCCUUGGCCUUAGUCCUUGAUGCUCUGAAGUAUGGUCCAUGGACCAGCAGCAUCAGCAAUCUCUAAAAGCUUUUACAAGAGAAGGAUCUCAGGCUCCACCCAAGACCUAUCAAAUUAGAAUCUACAUUUUACAAGAUCCCUAGAUGAUGCCCAAGCACCGUACAGUGUGAGAAACAUUGGUCUAGUCAGGCAAUGGUCAAGUAGGAAGGAGGGUGUGAGGUUGACGUGUCAGAGGGUAAAGGUAGGGAAGAUUUUGCUUAAGCAGGAAGAAUGGGGAGAGAACAGGCUCUCAGAUUUAUCGGGAAAUGGGAAGAUGGUUGGAGGCGGGUCAUGGAGCUGUUAACUGUGGACAUUUCUCAUCUUCAGUCAUGGUCAGUGGGUAGGAGGCACUUGUUUGAGUUGUCCGAUUCUUCUUAUCAACCACCUACACUUACUGAGUUUCAAAUGACUAGAGUAGUUUCCAUAUAAUAGCCAUAAAAAAGUCAUAGUUUAAAAGUAGGCAGUAUUUGAGAAAUGAUGAAACUGUUUAUUUGACUGUUAGUCACUUAAACUACUCAAUUUGAGUUUGUUUUGAUCAUCUUAAAUUAGUAUUGCUAAUAAAUGGCUUCCACAUCCUAUGGAAAAGUGGUUUGAACUAUCUGCUUUUAAUUAAGCGCUUUGGAUGGAUGUCCACACAUUCCUUGCAGUUUCUGAUGUAUCCUCACGAUCCCUGGGACAGAGUUGCAGGAAGUAGCUGAGCAAGGUGUCUUACACACCGUAGCCAUUCCGAGCAUUUUUGAACAGGAGUGGAAGGUCCCUGUAGGGGCUGGCCCUGGCAAGGCAGCAUCAGGACUCUUAAUUAGAACUUGGUCCAGCCCACCCAAAAUGAGAACCUGGGUCAUAUAGACGGUGACCGUACGACAGUUUUGCUGUAAAUGCACUUAUUCACUUUUAUUUGUUGGCCUUUUAAGCAUGAGAAGCCUUAGCAAAUAGUCAUUAACUGCUUUAGCUUAAAGAUCCCUUUGUGAUACGACAGUGCACAAGUCUAUAGCGUAUAAGUGGUACCAGUGUUCUAUUGGGAGCACUUCUUGGGUGGGAAGAGGACUUGAGACCCAUAAAAUAGUAUAACUAAGCAAGAUAAAGUAUCUCUGGUUAAACUGUUUCUAGGUGCAAUGGAUUCUGGGGAAGACACAGCGGGGUUUUCAAUAAGAAAGUAAUUUAGGCAUUUGGCACACAUUUGUUGAGAACGGGCUCUGCUGCAGGCCUUGUGUGGGUGAUGGACACACAGUCAUGACAAGGACAUGUUCCCUACCCUUAAGGAAGCCCAGUCAAGUGGAGUGGGUACUAUAGGAGGGGAGGGGUAGAGUGCCGUAAAUGCGUAUUGGGAAGUGCCCUUACCUCAGUGUGUUGGGACCGUGAAGGCUUCCUGGAAGGAAGUAAAGGAAGUGAGGAGAGAGACGUAUAAGCUCAUAUGUGAAGUGGUGAGGGGCCGGAAGGGUGCCCAGGCAGAAGAAUGGGAUGUGCCAAGGCCCAGAAGUAAGAGAUAGCAUGGUGCUGUCAGACAACAGGAAACGUGCCGACACCGUUAGAGUGUAUAUUGCCUGCGGAUCUGGAAUAAAACCUUAAAGCCUGAAGAGGCCUUUUAGGUCAACUAGUCUCAGCCCCCCCAAGAUGUGUUAACAGAUGAUCCCUCAUUGUCUCUUCAGCACCUCCUGUGUUGGAAGGCUGCCCAGAGAAGUCCUUCCACAGGGAGAAAUGAAAUCCGUCUUUUCUGCUUCUCGUCACUGGUCCUGGUUCUGUCCUUUCUUGUCACCAGGACAACCUGAAGCAUCUCCAGUGUUUAACAGUCACUAGUCAGUGACCCCAACACCCUUUUGGGGACUGCAUUGCCAAAGGAGAUGAGGCAAAGUCCAACUGGACGAUAGCGUACAGCCUGCCUGUUCCCUAAAGCAGACUGUUGAUGGAAUACAGACAUGGGGUGAACGGAUCCACUUUGCAGACCACCACUCUGGAUGGGUCCUCCUGCUUCUCUUAUCUAAACCUGGAGCUCCCUUCUCCUUUAUUUUAACAAUGUGAACACUUUUGGUUGUUGACAUCAAACUCUGAGUUAUAAGAACGCCUGUCAAAGGCCUGUUGGAAAGUUCCUUGAAACCAGCUGGAUCGGACUGGUCCUUUAGUCCAGCUGUAGAUGCCCAUUGUGGGCAGACUGAGGAAGCGACCCUCUUACCAGGAUGUGCUUGAACAAGGCCCAGGACAUUAAAAAAAAAAACAAAAACAAAAAACUUGCAAUUACACUUUUCUACCACUAGAUGAUAUGCACGUAUAAGCAAGAUGAAAACCCUCCUACCUUUCCUUUCUGCAUCAGUGGCCACAGUGAUGAUAGGGGCCAUCAAAGUUUACCACGUGCCUAUGGGCCAAAUCCAGUUUACCACCUCUCUUUAUAAAUAAAGUUUUAUUAGAACACAGCCAUGCUCAUUUGUCUGGGACUGAUUUUGCUCCACAAUGACAGAGAUAAAGAAAGUGAUUAAGGCCACCAUGAAUCCUGGCACAUACGUUAAAUGACUGUAGCAGACAUACAUGACAAAGGCUGUAAGUACUGAUGUACACCAUGCUUGAUACUCUUGGGUUUGUGUAAACAAGAUGAAUGACAGUUGGCCUCAAAGUUGUGGGGAACCUAGAAAGAAGAAAUUAAAAUUAUUGCAAGGUCAGGCCAGCCUUCUGUGUGACCCACAGGUAGAAAUGUAGCUGGAAUUGAGUAGCUGCCCGUGAGCACUUUUUCCCGACAUGACACUUAUCCAGAACAUGUUGUGAGAAACUCUUUUGACACAAUAAUUCAUAAGGCUGACGAUGACUCAUCAAAUGGAAACAGUGCUUAAUGUGUGAUUGAAACAUCCGUGGUCAAGUGGAGAGACACAGGAAGAAGGCAGUCAAAGGAAGUCUUCUUAAUGUCCUAGUUUUCCCCCAAUCAAAGGGGGUCUUUGCUCCUUUAGGGCCGGGUAUACUUGGGCCCUCAGGAUACCUGCUGGAGA